rnacentral:rRNA from 1 species
GACGAACGCUGGCGGCGUGCUUAACACAUGCAAGUCGAACGGUGAAGCUCCAGCUUGCUGGAGUGGAUCAGUGGCGAACGGGUGAGUAACACGUGAGCAACCUGCCCCUGACUCUGGAAUAAGCGCUGGAAACGGCGUCUAAUACUGGAUAUGAGAAGGGUCCGCAUGGACACUUUCUGGAAAGUUUUUCGGUUGGGGAUGGGCUCGCGGCCUAUCAGCUUGUUGGUGAGGUAAUGGCUCACCAAGGCGACGACGGGUAGCCGGCCUGAGAGGGCGACCGGCCACACUGGGACUGAGACACGGCCCAGACUCCUACGGGAGGCAGCAGUGGGGAAUAUUGCACAAUGGGCGAAAGCCUGAUGCAGCGACGCCGCGUGAUGGAUGACGGCCUUCGGGUUGUAAACCUCUUUCAGCAGGGAAGAAGCGAAAGUGACGGUACCUGCAGAAGAAGCACCGGCUAACCACGUG